UUGAUCCUGGCUCAGGACGAACGCUGGCGGCGUGCCUAAUACAUGCAAGUCUAGCGGAAUGAUGAAGAAGCUUGCUUCUUCUGAUUUUAGCGGCGGACGGGUGAGUGACACGUGGGCAACCUACGCUUGUAGAUUGGGAUAACUCCGGGAAACCGGGGCUAAUACCGAAUCAUCCAUUUUGCUUCAUGGCAAGAUGUUGAAAGGCGGCUUCGGCUGUCACUACGAGAUGGGCCCGCGGCGUAUUAGCUAGUUGGUAGGGUAAUGGCCUACCAAGGCGACGAUACGUAGCCGACCUGAGAGGGUGAUCGGCCACACUGGGACUGAGACACGGCCCAGACUCCUACGGGAGGCAGCAGUAGGGAAUCUUCCACAAUGGACGACAAGUCUGAUGGAGCAACGCCGCGUGAGUGAAGAAGGUUUUCGGAUCGUAAAACUCUGUUGUAAGGGAAGAACACGUACGAGAGUAACUGCUCGUACCUUGACGGUACCUUAUUAGAAAGCCA
rnacentral:rRNA from 1 species